rnacentral:lncRNA from 1 species
UGUCGUCUGUUUUGCUACCGUUCCUGUUAAUUUUGAGGCUUUCCGGCGUUCCAAGCAGCGCGGAUUUCGCAUGCUGUGGUGCUGUCGUUCGCCUCAUUGUUUUUUCUGCUUGUUUAGAAGCUUUGCGUUGCGGACAUUGCAGUGGGCCAGGGCUUGUUGACAUUUGUUGCCCAGCUGCUGUUGCUACCGCAGCAACAAGCUAAGCUGAGUGUUUCUUCUACGAGCUUCGUGCUGUUACCCGUGCUUUUGCUGAUACUUGUAGGAACAACCGCCCUGUUCGUGCGGUAUAAGUGACCUCGAAAUUCCAGUGAGCGCGAUACGAUUGCCGCAGUCUCGCAGAGAUCGCGGGAUUGUCCAUUCGUGCCUUCGAUGAGCACCGCUGCAGUUCCUACGCACUGCCCUUUGUUUUUAAACAACAGGCAGCCACAGUUGUGCUGGCAUGUCUAGCGGAGAUGUAAAAGAGGUGGCAGCUCCCACGCGCCACCACAUCCAUGUACUCAACUGUUAGUGCCCGCAUAUGCUAGCUGUGUCCACCAUUACGGAUGACUCUCUACCCAUGCGGAGGUUCUACUGAUUUCUUCGGCCUGCACCUUAUAAUGUUGGGCCCACCAGGAUCUAGCCUGUCUCUGCCUUGUUGACAACAAUUAGCCCCAAGUACUAAUUGCUGCUCAUUUGCGUAGUCCAGAAUCUGGCCUCACAAAUGCAAUGAGCCUUGGCGAAUGCAUCACUGUUGCCAUAGUGGCAUGCCAGGCCCCUUCCAAGGUCGUCAGUCAGGUCAAGGUUGGCACGCAGUGCUGCGUGCCUCUAGCCGACAAGUCUAUCGGGUGCUCCUUCAAAGCACUGAGCGUGUCGAGGAGCGUGCAGACUACAGAAGCUGUGAAUGAGUCAAGCUCGGCCUCAGG